GGAUGUAGGGUGAUCCGGCUGUGACAUCUCUCAUCCCAUUGAUCCCCGGGGUUGGUUCUUGGCUGAUCUGGCUGGCUGGGCGCGUGUCCCCUUCCUUACCACUCCCCGUGCAGCCCUCCCUAAGCUGCACAUUCGGUCGGAGAGGUCAACCUUCCCCGAUAGAGGAGGACCCUUCUUCGGUGAAGGGUGUACAAGUAGGUGCGCUCCCCGGCAAGGACCUCCAGACAAGCCCUCAAGCUGGAGAUCCUUGACACUUCUCAAGGGCAGUGGGUAGGAAGGUGGUAUAUUGAAGUUUCUGGGGGAAGGUAUAGAGUUUUUAAAAAUCAGUGCUCC
ensembl:misc_RNA 7SK 7SK RNA